UACGUAGGGCGCAAGCGUUGUCCGGAAUUAUUGGGCGUAAAGAGCUCGUAGGCGGCUUGUCACGUCGGGUGUGAAAGCCCGGGGCCUAACCCCGGGUCUGCAGUCGAUACGGGCAGGCUAGAGUUCGGUAGGGGAGACUGGAAUUCCUGGUGUAGCGGUGAAAUGCGCAGAUAUCAGGAGGAACACCGAUGGCGAAGGCAGGUCUCUGGGCCGAUACUGACGCUGAGGAGCGAAAGCGUGGGGAGCGAACAGG
rnacentral:rRNA from 1 species